UCUUUUUUGUUGAUUAAUUUUGCGUUUUCUCUCCCCUCCCGCUCCUCUCUUGUCGACAGGCCUCCAUCGUGUUGCAGGGCACUGCUGCUGAUCCCAGCGCUCUUCCCAAAGAGCCAUCAUCAGCCUGACGGGUGUCGUCAACUUCUAUUGUCUACUUCUGCUGUCACCUCCGGGUCACCCUGACAGUACCACAGUCCAUGUGGGCUUUGCUUUCUGCUUGGCCACCCGGACCCUUAAUGCCAGUGGCCAUGCCAGCACCAUGCAUGGUGUUUCAAUGAGGAUGCGGGGACAUUCAGGAGGCGCCGGCGUCCCGGCAGUCAGACAAAGCGUCCCACCGUGUCGAGGAGGACCUUGAAGGCCCCCGCUAGCGGGAUCAGGAGAUUUCUCUUCCAGGAUUAAUGGCUGCCGCUUUGAAUGAUUCUUGAGCACGUGGAGGCCAGCAUGUAUUAAUGGUGUACGGUGGGCACAAAGGCGAACACAGAAGAGGAAUUUAUCCCGAUGGAGGCUCUCUGCUGCUGAAUCGUGGACGCUCACGCCCGGCUGCACUCCAAUCGAUUCACUUCCCAGUGUCCACCUGCUCUUCUCCCCCAGUGCUGCUGUGGUGACUGGGGUGCCCUUUUCUUGAACUCGUACAUCACUGGUGAGGAAAGAAUUUGAUGUGACAGUUGAGGUCAAAGAAUUGGAGACUUGGAGAACAUGGCAGCCGGGCAUCUUCAGGGGGUCUCAGCAGGCAGAGCCACCACACAGCUGGGGCCAGAACAUCACUGGGAGGCCUAAAACCAAAUGGCUGUUUUUACUGAUAACAGGCUGAGGCCUCCCUUCUUGAAGGAUUUGGACCCACUCGUCCCAAUGGUGUCCCUGCUCAGGGUUUGCCAACUUGGAUCCUGCCUACUAUGCCCAAAGCAACCUCUGGCCAAUUCCCCAGUUGUGCCUUCCAUUUGUUGAGUGACAAAUACCAAGCAGCACAUCCUUUAGUUGUGGAGGACAUAUCUGAUGUGCAGGGUAUCCUUCUGAAGUGACCUUUUGGAAUUUUGUCGUCCUAUUGGUCUGCGCUUAAGCGGCCAGUGGGUAAGCAGCAGAAUAAGCCGAUGAGCCCAGUUGUCAAUCAGCUGCUACAGACGUGAAGCCAUCAGCGCAACGAAAGUAAAAUAGUCACCAGCAAACUCAACGGCCAGAAGGAAAAACACAAAUGAAGUUCCCCGAGGCUCCACGUCCUUGAGGAAACAUCUCUCUGUUCUCAGCUGGCUUUGAAAAAUCUGGGGCCAUGCCGACACUCCUCUCCUUGAAAAGGAUGUGUAACAGAAACCGCCUGGGGCAAGUAAGGCGCUAUAAAGAUGCAGAGUCGGCUGCGUGGGGGCCACCCUAACAAGUCCAUGAGCUCCUUGUCGGAAUGGUUACCUGCAAGCGGCCUUUAUGACUGGCAACUGGUCUGUCCCGGUCCAAACUGGAACAACUGAAGUGUGCCAAUCAUUUCAACUGGCGACUAUAAACUGAGGCAAAGUGAGUCCCCGUAGGUGUGUGUGUGUGCGUGUGUGUGCGCGCCAGGCGGUGGACGUGUCUUGUCUGAGGCUUAAUGCUGGUCCUGUUCUGGAGCAGACAGGAUCACUAAGUGAACAGCUGGAUGGAUAAUAUGAUAUAAUAUAAUAUAAUAUAAUAUAAUAUAACCAUUGCUGCAUGGACCAAUGGCAAUUUCAAAUAAUACAACAGAAUC